rnacentral:rRNA from 1 species
GCCUACGGGGGGCAGCAGUGGGGAAUAUUGGGCGAUGGGCGCAAGCCUGACCCAGCAACGCCGCGUGAAGGAAGAAGGCUUUCGGGUUGUAAACUUCUUUUCUCAGGGACGAAGCAAGUGACAGUACCUGAGGAAUAAGCCACGGCUAACUACGUGCCAGCAGCCGCGGUAAUACGUAGGUGGCAAGCGUUAUCCGGAUUUACUGGGUGUAAAGGGCGUGUAGGCGGGAAAGCAAGUCAGAUGUGAAAACCACGGGCUCAACCUGUGGCCUGCAUUUGAAACUGUUUUUCUUGAGUACUGGAGAG